rnacentral:rRNA from 1 species
AGCAGCAGCCGCGGUAAUACGGAGGGGGCUAGCGUUGUUCGGAAUUACUGGGCGUAAAGCGUACGUAGGCGGAUAUUUAAGUCAGGGGUGAAAUCCCGAGGCUCAACCUCGGAACUGCCUUUGAUACUGGGUAUCUUGAGUCCGGGAGAGGUGAGUGGAACUCCUAGUGUAGAGGUGAAAUUCGUAGAUAUUAGGAAGAACACCAGUGGCGAAGGCGGCUCACUGGCCCGGAACUGACGCUGAGGUACGAAAGCGUGGGGAGCAAACAGGAUUAGAUACCCCAGUAGUCCCUGUCUCUUAUAA